rnacentral:rRNA from 1 species
UAAGCGGAGGAAAAGAAACUAACAAGGAUUCCCCUAGUAACUGCGAGUGAAGCGGGAAAAGCUCAAAUUUAAAAUCUGGCGGUCUUUGGCCGUCCGAGUUGUAAUUUAGAGAAGCNUCUUCCGCGCUGGACCGUGCACAAGUCUCCUGGAAUGGAGCGUCAUAGAGGGUGAGAAUCCCGUCUUUGGCACGGAUGCCUGGUGCUUCUGUGAUGCGCUCUCGAAGAGUCGAGUUGUUUGGGAAUGCAGCUCAAAAUGGGUGGUGAACUCCAUCUAAAGCUAAAUAUUGGCGAGAGACCGAUAGCGAACAAGUACCGUGAGGGAAAGAUGAAAAGCACUUUGGAAAGAGAGUGAAACAGUACGUGAAAUUGUUGAAAGGGAAACGCUUGAAGUCAGUCACGUCGACCGAGACUCAGCCUUGCCUUGGCUUGGUGUACUUCUCGGCCCGACGGGUCAGCAUCAAUUUUGCCCCUCGGAUAAUGGCAAGGGAAAGGUGGCACCUUUACGGGUGUGUUAUAGUCCCCUGUCGAAUGCGAGGGGUGGGAUUGAGGAACUCAGCGCGCACCUCAGUGUCGGGGCUUCGGCCCACGUCACGCGCUUAGGAUGCUGGCGUAAUGGCUUUAAACGACC